rnacentral:lncRNA from 1 species
CCGGAGAACCCGUCUGCCAUGCCUGGGGAGCCCGGCCCAGCCUAACCACCCAGGGGCCCUUCCUGUCCAGCGACCCCCACCACCGGCAUCAUGCCCCAGGACCCAGACCUCUUCUGAGAGGGAACAGAAGAAAGAGGUUGUCUUCAGAUAUCUGCAGCUCCUGAACAUCUUAUGCAUUUGUGAGACAUCUAUGGCAGAAGCUGGAACACCAAAUUAAUUUCGCGGUAUCCUUCAAUGACCCUUGAUUCUUGAUUCAACAAUGCAGCAAACAUUAGACCUGCUGGGGAAAAUGACAUUUUACAGGCACUGU